GGGGUUGUGGCUCAGCGGUAGAGCACUCACCUCACAUAUGCGAGACCCUGGGUUCAAUCCUCAGCACCA
rnacentral:tRNA from 1 species